GACAGAGGUGCCGAGCGUUAGGCGGAAUCACUGGGCUUAAAGCGUGUGUAGGCGGGUCGGUAAGUGUCUUGUGAAAUCCCACCGCUCAACGGUGGAACUGCUGGGCAUACUGGCGAUCUUGAGCCACCUAGGGGCAGACGGAACAAGCGGUGGAGCGGUGAAAUGCGUAGAUAUCGCGUGGAACGCCGACGGUGAAAACAGUCUGCUGGGGGUGUGCUGACGCUGAGACACGAAAGCCAGGGGAGCGAACGGG
rnacentral:rRNA from 1 species